rnacentral:tRNA from 1 species
UUUAAUGGAAGCCAAAAAUGAGGCUUAUCACUGUUAAUGAUAGAACUGAAUACACCUUUCCCAUUAA